ACGGGAGGCAGCAGUGAGGAAUAUUGGUCAAUGGGCGGAAGCCUGAACCAGCCAAGUCGCGUGAGGGAAGAAGGUCCUAUGGAUUGUAAACCUCUUUAGCCGGGGAGCAAUAAGCGCCACGCGUGGCGUGAUGCGAGUACCCGGAGAAUAAGGAUCGGCUAACUCCGUGCCAGCAGCCGCGGUAAUACGGAGGAUGCGAGCGUUAUCCGGAUUUAUUGGGUUUAAAGGGUGCGCAGGCGGCACGUUAAGUCAGCGGUGAAAUGUCGGGGCUCAACCCGGGCACUGCCGUUGAAACUGGCGAGCUUGAGUACGGAUGAAGUCGGCGGAAUGUGAUGUGUAGCGGUGAAAUGCUUAGAUAUGUCACAGAACACCGAUUGCGAAGGCAGCUGACUAAUCCGCAACUGACGCUCAGGCACGAAAGCGUGGGGAUCGAACAGGAUUAGAUACCCUGGUA
rnacentral:rRNA from 1 species